rnacentral:rRNA from 1 species
UUUAUGGAGAGUUUGAUCCUGGCUCAGGACGAACGCUGGCGGCGUGCUUAACACAUGCAAGUCGAACGGAAAGGCCUAGCUUGCUAGGUACUCGAGUGGCGAACGGGUGAGUAACACGUGGGUGAUCUGCCUCGUACUUCGGGAUAAGCCUGGGAAACUGGGUCUAAUACUGGAUAGGACCAUGCUUUAGUGUGUGUGGUGGAAAGUUUUUUCGGUACGAGAUGAGCCCGCGGCCUAUCAGCUUGUUGGUGGGGUAAUGGCCUACCAAGGCGUCGACGGGUAGCCGGCCUGAGAGGGUGGACGGCCACAUUGGGACUGAGAUACGGCCCAGACUCCUACGGGAGGCAGCAGUGGGGAAUAUUGCACAAUGGGCGCAAGCCUGAUGCAGCGACGCCGCGUGGGGGAUGACGGCCUUCGGGUUGUAAACCUCUUUCGCUAGGGACGAAGCUUUUGUGACGGUACCUAGAUAAGAAGCACCGGCUAACUACGUGCCAGCAGCCGCGGUAAUACGUAGGGUGCGAGCGUUGUCCGGAAUUACUGGGCGUAAAGAGCUCGUAGGUGGUUUGUCGCGUCGUCUGUGAAAUUCCGGGGCUUAACUUCGGGCGUGCAGGCGAUACGGGCAUAACUUGAGUGCUGUAGGGGAGACUGGAAUUCCUGGUGUAGCGGUGGAAUGCGCAGAUAUCAGGAGGAACACCGAUGGCGAAGGCAGGUCUCUGGGCAGUAACUGACGCUGAGGAGCGAAAGCAUGGGGAGCGAACAGGAUUAGAUACCCUGGUAGUCCAUGCCGUAAACGGUGGGCGCUAGGUGUGAGGGUCUUCCACGACUUUCGUGCCGUAGCUAACGCAUUAAGCGCCCCGCCUGGGGAGUACGGCCGCAAGGCUAAAACUCAAAGGAAUUGACGGGGGCCCGCACAAGCGGCGGAGCAUGUGGAUUAAUUCGAUGCAACGCGAAGAACCUUACCUGGGCUUGACAU